rnacentral:lncRNA from 1 species
UUUACUUAAAUUAUUUAGUCGAGUCCUGAAUCAGUUGAUUAAUUUGAAUAAUGAUUUAAUGGUCUGAUUAGUUAGACUCUAUAAUUUGAGUUUGAUUGAUUAUUUUUAUGUGUGUAAUUAUUUACUUUAUGUGACUUUUGAUAUAAAUUUUGCAUGGUAAAUAAUGUAAUAAAAGUAUUUUGAUAAAUUCGAUUUUUUUUAAAGAUAUCCAAUUUUUACAAUAAUAUAUAUAUAAUAUAAGCAAUGAUAUCGUAUGUAUAUUAGCUAUUAAGAUUAGAUUAUCUUGUAGGUCACUUGAAGAAGGAAUUAGCAUUGCUUUUACAAGAAGAGAAUUAGUACAUCUUUAUCUACAGGCUUGUUCUAUCAAGUGGUUUUUAUUUUCCAAUGUAUGUUUUGAGUUAUUGAGCUCUAAAUUUUUAUGCAAAUGCAAAGGAAUGUCCAUGUUAAAAUGAUUUUAUCUCUCUAUUGUUUAAAGUGUUCCUAUGUUCUCUAACGAUCGGGUCCUAGUCGGCGUAGCGAUUGGAUCCCCUGGUUAGGAUUGUGUACACACAAAGGGGUAUUGUGGGGUGCUCCCACUUGCCUCAGACUGUCAGACUUGGGCUGCUCCCAUUUUUGAAACAUGCAUGGUAGUGGACCUCUGUGGGCUGCUCCCACAUGUUCACAUUAUAGGUGAAGCACCAAUUGAGAGAAGACUGAAAAUGGAUCCACAAUUUAUUUUAUGUAUGCAUAGAAUGCUUUCAAAUAUUUCUAUGUUAUACUGUUCAUAGCAUGGAUUAUUCUUUUAAAUGGAUUUUUUUUCAAAUGUUUUCAAAUGGCUAAACCCACUGAGUAUACUAGUGCUCAGCCCUGCAAUUGUUUUCAAAACCUUUUGCAGGUUGAGCGGCAGAUGGUGUCGUGCGAAGCUGAGGAAGGGUGUUGCUGUAUUUCCAAAUAAAUGUCAAGAAUAAAUUCCGCUGCCAUAAUAUUCGCUAAGGUGGAUAUUAUUUAAGAUUGGCUAUUUUAAUAUUCAUAGCCUAUUUAAUAUGAACUCCAGUUGUCAUCGAUUUCCUAGCAAUUAUUCCUCGCAUAUAAUAUUCGCUUAGUAUUAAAUGUUAUCUUAUUGUCUCUGACCUCCGAACUUUUGAUCCUGGUUGGGAGAAUUUCUAUCUUAAUUGUCGUAUUUAUUAUCCUUCAAUUGUGACAUUCCUUUAUUAUGAAUGUGUUACCCAAAUCUAAGGGCAUAUUACCUAU